rnacentral:misc_RNA from 1 species
GAUGAAGAACGGAGUGAAAUGCGAUACUUGGUGUGAAUUGCAGAAUCCCGUGAACCAUCGAGUCUUUGAACGCAAGUUGCGCCUCAAGCCAUUAGGUUGAGGGCACGUCUGCCUGGGCGUCACAUAUCGUUGCCUGAUGCCAGUUUCCUCGUGAUGGGUGACUGUGCAGGGCGAAUGAUGGCUUCCCGUGAGCAUUGUUGCCUCAUGGUUGGUUGAAAAUUGAGUCCUUGGUAGGGAGCGCCGUGAUAGAUGGUGGUUGAGUGACGAACGAGACCCAAUCAUGUGAGACCCCUACCGAAUUUGGCCUUCAUGACCCACAUGCGUCUUUGGAACGCUCAUGACGAGACCUCAGGUCAGGCGGGGCUACCCGCUGAGUUUAAGCAUAUCAAUAAGCGGAGGA